CAGUCCUGUUGUCAUUACGCCGCUCGUUUGUGUUUUAGGUCUUGGUUUGUUUGGUAGAGGCUUUCCUCAGGUGGGUGAUUAUAUUGAGAUUGGCCUACCCAUGUUAAUUCUACUUAUCAUUUCCCAGCAGUAUAUGCAACGUGUUCAUCCAGUUUCCCAAUCCAUACUUGAAAGGUUUGCUUUGCUCCUCUGCAUUGGGCUUAUCUGGGCUUUUGCUGCUAUUCUUACUGUUGCCGGUGCUUACAACCAUGUGAAGGAGCGAACUGAGCUGAGCUGCCGAAUU